UACGUAGGGGGCAAGCGUUGUCCGGAUUUAUUGGGCGUAAAGAGCUCGUAGGCGGUUCGGCAAGUCGGGUGUGAAACCUCCAGGCUCAACCUGGAGACGCCACCCGAUACUGCUGUGACUAGAGUCCGGUAGGGGAGCGUGGAAUUCCUGGUGUAGCGGUGAAAUGCGUAGAUAUCUGGAGGAAUACCGGUGGCGAAGGCGGCAUCCUGGACCGGCAUUGACGCUGAGGAGCGAAAGCCAGGGGAGCAAACGGG
rnacentral:rRNA from 1 species